UGCUGGUGAACAACGCCGCUGUCGCCCUGCUGCAGCCCUUCCUGGAGGUCACCAAGGAGGCCUUUGACAGAUCCGUUGAGGUGAACCUGCGUGCGGCCAUCCAGGUGUCACAGGUGAGCUGCCCUGUGGGCUGGACGGGAAUUCUGGUGAGUGAUGCCAGCUCUGCUUCACCGUCUCGCUGCAAUUCCAGAUUGUAGCCAGGGGCUUAAUAGCCCGGGGAGUCCCAGGGGCCAUCGUGAAUGUCUCCAGCCAGGGCUCCAAGCGGGCAGUAACUAACCAUAGCGUCUACUGCUCCACCAAGGGUGCCCUGGACAUGCUAACCAAGGUGAUGGCCCUAGAGCUCGGGCCCCACAAGGUGAGCAGGGCUGGGGUACCUCCCCCAACCUAGGCCACCCCACUUGCCCUGCUGACCCCAGCUGUCCCGGUAUAGAUCCGAGUGAAUGCAGUAAACCCCACAGUGGUGAUGACGCCCAUGGGCCAGGCGGCCUGGAGUGACCCCCACAAAGCCAAGACUAUGCUGGACCGAAUCCCACUUGGCAAGUUUGCUGAGGUAGAGCACGUGGUGGACGCCAUCCUCUUUCUGCUGAGUGACCGAAGCGGCAUGACCACGGGUUCCACUAUGCCGGUGGAAGGGGGCUUCUGGGCCUGCUGAGCUCCCUCCACACACCUCAAACCCCAUGCCGUGCCUAUCCUACCCCCAAUCCCUCC
rnacentral:sRNA from 1 species